rnacentral:lncRNA from 1 species
UCUGUGAAUUAGUGAACCCUGACGCUGCACUCCCGUCCUCUGAUCCACUUUGACUAUCUGGCGAUGCCUCCGCCUUAACAGCAAGUGGAUACACAUCCGCCUCGCCAUCUUUGGACAAUUCUGCUUCUUCAAACAUUGAAAGAUCAAUGCCGGUUCCGGAGGGUUGCCUAAACUUCUGAGCUAAACCUUUUUGAAACUCAAAAGUUACUGGCGGAAGCACGCUUUCCUUCAUAGGAGUCAAGCAACAAUCUUCACCUUCUUUCGCAAAGAAAAUGACAGUCAUGCUGCAAGAGGAAAAAGAUCAAGAAAUACGUUUAGUUAUCUCACGUUGAAAGCACUUCCGUGCCACUUGAGUCAAUAAUAUGUUACCAAGCAGAAGCAGUAACAAAUGACUACAAUUUUCAAUAACAAACAAGCACAAAGCAACUACUUUCAUUAUUCUGACAUGAGUGUCCUAGAAACUGCAAGCAUAUCAGGGCUCGUUCCUUGUAAAUACUAUCUCACAUUUGAUAAAAUUCCUUCGUUUAAUAAGUCCCACAGUCGUCAACAUUGUCGGUUCUACUCCUAAGAGUCAGCAACAGAUGCUGAAGACUGAGAAGUGAGUAAAGCUCCCACACGACCGACAAAGAAAAAGCAACUACCUUCCUUAUUAAUUCCCUUGGUGACAAAUAGCACCUUUAGUGAUCCCUUGUUAAUGUACUGUCAACUGCAAGCAUAUCAGAUCUCAACCUUCGGGUAUUACAGUCUCAACUUUCAGUAUGAAACACCAUUAUGGAACAUUUAGACAUGCGAGACAAAUAUAUGAUAAAUUCAGUCUAUGAAGUAACUGAUUCCAGUAUAUUACUAUCAUUUUAGAAAAACAAAAAUCCAGUUGAUGAUUAAAUUACUCCAAAUCUCAAAUGAUACUCUAUUUAUUUAUUUAUUGUAAAUAUAUAUCUCAAGAUGAGAUUCUAUGGAUCAUUUUUACAGCGAGGGAUAGCUGUAACAAAGAUAUCAACUGCCUCUUUGAGGUCUGACGCUACUACAUAAAGAUACAGGAUAUGCUGGCAAAACAAUUCUUACCAUCUUCCAUUCGUUUUCAUCACAAAAAAAAAAACCAAUAAUUCAUAUUAGUCAAGCAUACAGUAUUGCCCAUCAGAAAAAUAAUGCAAAUACAGAUGGAGUAGAAGACAAAGUUACUGAUUACUACUUUGAACAUCAGUGCUUAAAAGGAGACCCUUCAAAUUAUUGUAUACUGAGUAAUUAUUAAUUAGACCCAAACGCUUAUUCAAAUGACCCAAAGUAGUACUAAAUCACGCUCUACGAGAUGAUCAAAGAUCAGCAGAACUUUCUCAUUUAUUAUAUUUAUUUUUAAAUAUACACAUUUUUCUAGUCUUCCAAGGUUGUUAUAGAGAUUGCUGGACUAGCAACCGAAAAAAUUCCGUCACCGUCCGAGACCGAAUUAAAUUUACUGAUCAGGUUUCCAAAUUCUCUCUCAACAAAGUAUGAAUCUGCAGCUAUGAUAUUGGUGAUUGUCAAAAGGUUGCCUCACAGAAUCCAUGAGUAUAAAUGAAUCCCUAGCAAACUCAACAAUCCUCAUCCUCUUAGUAUUUGUAUAAGUUCCUAAACUAAUGAAUGAUUAGAAAGUUCAAAACUUUCUUGGAAUAAAAUAAAUCUACUAUACCUCUCCCUCCGUCCAAACUUUAAACAGACAUUGAUCCCAGAUGGAACGAAAAUUUUAAGAUGUUCGACACCAUUCUACUGAAAAUUUUAUCCUAUAAAUAAAUCCCUAGAAAACUCAAUAAUUCUUAUCCUCUUGGUUGUCUGCUAUAUGAAUCCUUAAUGACCAUGCUACUCCAUUUAAAUUCAUCUCAGGCCAAUUUGCAUAAAUUUCACAAAAAAACAGACAUGAAAAAUGAAAAAAAGACAAUUUUUUUUAAAAAUAUUUAAUAAGCAGUACCUCCCAGGAACAGUGGCAUCAAACGUGAAAGCCACAAGGUAUUUGCCAGGGUUAUCUUCAUCAGGCUCAAUCCUUAGAGUCUCCUUCUUCAAAUUAACAUCAUUUCUUAUUGUCACAGCUUUUUGAUGCUCCACAUAUGGAGCAGGCGGAGGCAUCAUAGGUCCACAUGGGUACCGACCCGGCCCGUUAACCCAAUUAGCAUGACCCGGGUGAUUGUCCAUCCUAUGAUGAUGAUCAUAUGGAGCCGGUAACGGCACCGGCAUCGCCGGCGGCGGUGGCGGAUAGUAACCCGGGUAUUGAUAAUACGGCGGAGCAUUAGGGUUUGGGUAUUGUGCAGGAUAAGGCGUUGCCGCCGCGAACACGUAACGGUUCGCGCUUAUCUCCGGCUGCGGCGGUUGUGGUGGCGGUGGCGGUGGUGGGUGGCUCCUCCGGCUACUGCUCCGUCGCCGGCCGU